CUCCAGUUCUCACGUAUUUCAUCUUUGUUCCAUGCAAUCUCAGUUAAAAAGAACUACUAACCUAAGAUUAAACAGAAGUUGUGACAGGAGCAGGAUUGAACGAAUGCCCUCUCGCAGUCGACGUUCUUAGGUUAAAUAGACCCUUUCUAGAGAUUCAACAUGUUCAAAUUCCUGAUCAGUCUAGGUAUUGGAGUGUAUGCUGGAAUAUAUUUAGCACAAAAUUACGAGGUGCCACGUGUGGAUGAACCAUCCAAACUGUAUCAUCGAAUACUUGAGUUUCUAGAAGAACACAAAAAGAAGCCAUGAUCUUUUGUCCUGCGCAACUGCUUCCAGUGCUGAAGAGCACGAAGAGAAAACAGAAAGGGAACGAAUGUCCUAUUGUCGAUACAGUGUGUAUGAUACUUAGCUCCAAGAAGUACUGUUAGAUCUACCUGUGCAGAUAUAUGUGUCUGUAUGUGAGAAUGCAUCCUUGUACAAGAUAAUGUAUAUAUAUAAUCAUAUGUCAUGUACAAAAAUAGAUACGUUAAUUUUUCCAUA